rnacentral:rRNA from 1 species
GAUGAACGCUGGCAGCGUGCCUAAUACAUGCAGGUCGAGCGAAGCGGGGACGGGUGAGUAACACGUGGAUAACCUCCUAUAAGACUGGGAUAACUUCGGGAAACCGUAGCUAAACUGGUUACUUAUAGAUGGAUCCGCGCUGCAUUGGCUAGUUGGUAAGGUAACGGCUUACAAAGGGAAGGAUGCAUAGCCGAACUGUGAGGGUGAGUGGCCAGACGGGAACGGAGACCCGGCCCAGACUCCUACGGAAGGCAGCAGUAGGGAAUCUUCCGCAAUGGGCGAAAGCCUGACGGAGCAACGCCGCGUGAGUGAUGAAGGUCUUCGGAUCGUAAAACUCUGUUAUUAGGGAAGCGGUACCUAAUCAGAAAGCCACGGCUAACUACGUGCCAGCAGCCGCGGUAAUAC